CAUCUGGAGUAAGGCUCAGAUUUGCAGAUGGAUUUGCCAAGCUGUGGUUAACCAUCAGAAAUCCUCUAUCACCUCAGCCUGUGGCCUUUAGUCGGCACUGCCUUCCUUCUCCAGGGCAUCUCCUCCUUCAAGGCUCUGCUAAGGAACUGCUCUUUACUCCUAAUGAGCUAAGACUGGCUCUGGGGAGACACUCUCUUCUGGGACACUGUUGAUUCCAGUGAAUCACUCAAGCUUAGUUCUGCUAAAGCAAGAGCUGCUCCACCAGGAGGCAGUCGGUCUUCCCCCCAAAAGCCUCAAGGUUUUCUAGAUGCCUUCUUGAGUCUGCUUGUGGCCAACCGCAGACACUUGUAAGGAGCAGAGAAGUCGCCUGGCAGAGACACUCUGAAAUGAGGGAAUAGCGGCUGGUUUCCAAGGAGCAGGAGCUACAGCCAGAAGACGAGGGAGCAGGUCCUGAAAAACACUUCUCCUGAGAGGUCUGCCAUGGCCUCUCUUGGCCUCCAACUUGUGGGCUACAUCCUAGGCCUCCUGGGACUGUUGGGCACCAUGAUUGCCAUGCUUCUCCCCAACUGGCGAACGAGCUCUUACGUCGGCGCCAGCAUCGUGACAGCAGUUGGUUUCUCCAAAGGCCUCUGGAUGGAGUGUGCCACACAGAGCACAGGCAUCACCCAGUGUGACAUCUACAACACCCUCCUAGGCCUACCCGCUGAUAUCCAGGCUGCUCAGGCCAUGAUGGUGACAUCCAGUGCCUUCUCCUCACUGGCCUGCAUUAUCUCUGUGGUGGGCAUGAGAUGCACGAUCUUCUGCAAGGAAUCCCGAGCCAAAGACAGAGUGGCGAUAGCAGGUGGAGUCUUCUUCAUCCUUGGAGGUCUCCUGGGCUUCAUCCCGGUUGCCUGGAAUCUACAUGGGAUCCUUCGGGACUUCUACUCACCACUGGUGCCUGACAGCAUGAAAUUUGAGAUCGGAGAGGCUCUUUACUUGGGCAUUAUUUCCUCUCUGUUCUCCCUGGUAGCUGGCAUCAUCCUCUGCUUCUCUUGCCCAUCCCAGGGAAAUCGCUCCAACUAUGAUGCCUACCAGGCCCAGCCCCUUGCCACUAGGAGCUCUCCAAGGCCUGGCCAACCUCCCAAAGUGAAGAAUGAGUUCAACUCCUACAGCCUAACAGGGUAUGUGUGAAGAAUCAGGGGCCAGAGCUGGGGGGGGUGGCUGGGUCUGUGAAAACCACUGGACAAGUCUCUCCCCCUCCGGCCCCCGCAGGGCUACAGGUGAGGGACACUGCCACUGGAUCAUGUCGGAAGGUGCUGCUGAGGAUAGACUGACUUUGGCCAUUGGGUCGAGUGAAGGCAGAAGUGGGAAAUGGUGUGACAGUAAAAGGGUUCAAUUGUCAAGGAUGCUCGUCAAGCCAGCCUUUCUGUUACCCUCACCUCGUUCCACUGCCCUGAGUUCCCAACCCUCAACUGCAAGCUCCAACCCCUACCUUUGGCCAGGUCUCAGAGGCUCUCCUUGUCUUUUGGUUUGCCUGGGAAUCCAUCCAAACCCUACCGCACUUCCCACUGACUGAACCCUCUCUGGGACCAAAGACCUUUCCUAUGUGGCUGAGAAUGGCUCUGAGCUCAAUCCUGGGGGAGGAAGAGAAAAAGGAAUGGUGGCUUUUAUGCACAUGGCUCUAAACUUCUUUUCCAGCCUCCCUCCAAAGAAACUGAUUGGUCAGUAAUGGGCCCUGAGCCUCCAUUCUACCCCUCCAGUUCUGACUUCAAAGUGUCCAGACUGGUUGGUGCCUGAGCUGAAAUAAAGCCAUCCCACGGCACCCAGGGAAUAGGAAUCAAUUGGGUGCAGAAUGAGAAGAAGGGAAGGCAGCCUGGGGCUAAAAUAAGAUGAGAACCACUUCCCAGGGAAUUUUCCCCAAAUCCCCUCAUACCCGCGGUUCGGGAUUUGCGUCUGCAGCCAGAGGGAAGCAUGAGGAAAGAAGAGCCGGUGGAAAGCUCAAAGCCGCGGCAGGCUGUGAGUCCCCUGAGGAGCUGCCUCACAAGCUGCGAUCCCGACUUUCACUGAAGCCUCUGCCUCCCGCUGCGGUACCUGACCUGGCUUCCUGUCUAACCCACAAGGCUGAAGGCCUUGGACCAUGAUUUCCUUAGGGACUGUGAACCAGAUUUUCUACAAAUGGUCCUUGGCUGGGGUUAGGACGGUGUGGGAGUUGUGGGGGACUGAGGAAGAGGUAUUCUAUGCUAGCCAAGAAAGAAUAAGAACUUCGGUAUGUAAUAAACUGGGCAGGCAUGUGUGGUGACUCUAGUGAGGGUUUCUACUAUGCCGGAAAGAGGUGGUCCCCCAGAGUCGUCAGGUCUAACGGAAAACCAGCUGCAAAGGCUGCAAUCAUGCCCCUCCUCCCAGGGUCUACCCACAGAGCACUACAGAGCUUCUGAAAGCCACAGCACCAGGCAAGUCCCUUGUCACCCUUCAUACCCUCCCUCUCGUCCAUGAGAAGAUAGUCCAGGGUAGCUAGAGGGCACUUGAGGUGCCACCAUAAAACAUCCAUGUCCAAGGUGCUGUGUCCAUGACUCCAGUGAUAAGUAAGCUGCUGCCUGGGCCUGCAGUGGGGGUGGGAGAGUGGAGAACGGUUCCCAGGCAGACAGUUCCACCUCCAAAGUCAGAAAAUGCCCCAUUUCCGCCGGAGUGGAAGUGGGGUAGUCAUAAACCAAAGAUGCUUUCCCUUAACCAGCCUGAGUCUAAGCGACUUCUGAAAAACCCCAGGACACCUCUGCACAUCCCAGUGCCAGCUGCAGAGGUGCACUCACGGUCUCUAACAGGCCUCCGUGUUUCCACCUUCUUGCCUGAUUCGAGCUGUUCUGCCAACCUGGAAGACCCUCGUCCCUUAGCCAAGACCUCCUCAAGCUUGGAGAACUUGCUCAGCACCACACCCUUCACUGAGCCUUCUCUGACCACUCCAUCCCUCACCUACGCCUCCUUCCUUUAACCCUCAGCAUAUAAAUUGCUUCUUGAUGCUCAUCAUUAAACAUUUUUGAUUGAUAGUUAUCUUUGUGUGUGUGUGUGUGUGUGUGUGUGUGUCUCGACAUCACCAUUGUAAGCUUUUCGAGGGACCAUAUCUUAGACGUCUCUGUAUCCGCCCAACUGUUUGUAACAGUGCUGAACACACAGUAGGUGAUCAAUAAAUAUGUUGAUUGAG